rnacentral:lncRNA from 1 species
GCCGCGCGUGUGGCGAGAUGGGGAAUGCGGCCCUGGGAGCGGAGCUGGGCGUGCGGGUCCUGCUCUUUGUGGCCUUCCUGGCGACCGAGCUGCUCCCUCCCUUCCAGCGGCGGAUUCAGCCCGAGGAGCUGUGGCUUUACCGGAACCCGUACGUGGAGGCGGAAUACUUCCCCACCGGCCCCAUGUUUGUCAUUGCCUUUCUCACCCCACUGUCCCUGAUCUUCUUCGCCAAGUUUCUGAGGAAAGCUGACGCCACCGACAGCAAGCAAGCCUGCCUCGCUGCCAGCCUUGCCCUAGCUCUGAAUGGUGUCUUUACCAACAUCAUAAAACUGAUAGUGGGCAGGCCACGCCCAGAUUUCUUCUACCGAUGCUUCCCCGACGGGAUGGCCCAUUCUGACCUGACUUGCACAGGGGACAAGGAUGUGGUGAAUGAGGGCCGAAAGAGCUUCCCCAGUGGACACUCUUCCUGUAUGAGUCUCAUGUGAACUACCUCAAUGCUUACAUGGAUAUGUGUUUGGCUUCUCUGUGUGGAUGCAUGCUGUCUCACUGCCUGGCUUGACACGGGCUCUCUCAGUGCUUCUCUCACUAGGUUAAUGAGUCCGGUCCCAGUAUUCUCAGAUCUAGUCAGUGUCUUUAUGUCGAUGUAAAUGUCACUCCUGAAGAAAGCUUUUUAUAAAGGAAGCUUCUCAUGACCCCAUUUUAUCCUAGAAGGCUUAAUUACCAGACAUAAUCUCUGUCCCUUAUAAAUUAGGGCAGUUCCAAACUUUGAUUCUGUUUACUUUUUGUGGUAACAUUCCAUUAAGCCUUAAAUAAUAAAACAUCCAAUUUUUUACUUUUUACUACAUUAGGAAAGAAAACUUAUGGGUGUUAUCUAGAAGAUAAAUGUAUCUUUUUCUGCCUUUUGUUCACAAAGAAACAUAUGGAGCAGCUAAAGGCUCUCACUAGAACUUGAUCCUGAGGACCACUUGAUGGAUAGCUACCUUUUCUUCAUUGUUACUAUACUUUAAAUAAAAUUCAGUCUUGUGU